UACGAAGGGGGCUAGCGUUGCUCGGAAUCACUGGGCGUAAAGCGCACGUAGGCGGAUUGCUAAGUCAGGGGUGAAAUCCUGGAGCUCAACUCCAGAACUGCCUUUGAUACUGGCAAUCUUGAGUCCGGAAGAGGUGAGUGGAACUCCUAGUGUAGAGGUGGAAUUCGUAGAUAUUAGGAAGAACACCAGUGGCGAAGGCGGCUCACUGGUCCGGUACUGGCGCUGAGGUGCGAAAGCGUGGGGAGCAAACAGG
rnacentral:rRNA from 1 species